rnacentral:lncRNA from 10 species
UGUGUCCAAAGCAUUGUCCCCUGCAGAAGUUGCGCCAGUCCUCCCUCCACCUCUUGCUGCACUCAGACAGGAAGGCAGUGAAGCCAGACAGGAAGGCAGUGAAGCCAGACAGGAAGGCAGUGAAGCCAGACAGGAAGGCAGUGAAGCCAGCCACGCCAGCCUCAGAGCAGGCACUGAGGGCACUGACGCUCACCCUGGCCCUGCAGAAUCUGUGGAGGAGAGGCUGUGGGUCCACCCUUGUCUUCUGCUUAUCCCAGUUGUCCUACCUCAUGGACGACUCCCUUUUAAAAAUAACCGCAAUACCGUCACCACACACAGAAAAUUAAGAUUUCUUUAAUGUCAACACCUAUGCUAUCUGUGUUUGCCUUCCUCCAACAGUCUCAUGAACAUUUUAAGAUUUGCUUGCCUGAACUGGGAUCCCAACGAGGUCUACACUUUGUUCUGAACUCAUGCAUCCCUUAAGUGUCUCACUCUACCAGUUUACUCUACAUCUCUUCCAGACUCCCUCAAUUUUCUUCUUCUUCUUGAAAAAAAUAUUGCUUGU